GCCUCUGCCUACGAGGAGGAUUUUAAACUUCUGCCCAGCCUCUCAGCAAGAUACAGCAGUUACUACAUUGCAGAGCCUGAUGCUUGAGCAGAUGAGAGAUGGCUGUUCCCUCCUUCCAGCUCCUCACAGCAAGGCAUGGAUGCCGGUGACACCAAGAUGGACGGAAGAGGCAAGCAAGGUAGUUGAACUUAGCUAUCUUCCUUCCACAUGGCCUCAUGGUACUUCUGCCUAUUUGAGGGGAACAGCUGUGACAAGACAGAGCAAUGACUGGCACAUCAUGUUUCACCACCUCUAGCUGACGAUCAGCUUGAGAAUGUGCCAGGUGUUCCCAGCAACUCUGGGCUGCUCACUUCCUUCAUUCACUGUCGUGGCCCAGCCCAGCAAGAAACAGGAUGUAUGGGUUAAACCCAAACUUCAGUACAGCUUUUAUAAUACUCACCUUUUGGGAAAGAGGAGAGGAUUGUUAAAGGUCAGUCAAAAGUACAGUGUUUGUGGGAUGCGUCAUGUGAAUCUGAAAGCUGGUGGCAAAUAUCCUGCCCAUGGGACUCGCACUCGCUGAGACGUGUUUAUGCAGAUGAAAGUUGUUUGCCCAGAUGGCACUCAAAUAGCUUUGCUCUCCAUUUCCUUGUGAUAGUAAAAAUGCUGCACAUAGAUCGUAUUCAGGAAGUUGGCCCUCUUUAUUUCUGAAAAGCCUAAAUAUUUACAGUUUUCUUUCUGGGUGAAAGAAAGACGGGUGAAAAUGCAUGAAAGUCCGUCUAUCAAGAGGAAUUAAAGGAGCUGAUUCAAUAGUCUCCUGUUGAUGGAGAGGAUAGCUCUGUGGUUGCAUUCCGAGACUGAGGCCAGGUUUGUAUUCCAGCCUUCUGCCAAGAUGCCUGGGUCACAGCUGGGGUAUGAAGUUGUGUACUCAUGGGCAGAAAUACCUCAUGGGUAGGUAGUUCCUCUGGCAAAGUUUCAUGUAAUUCACUGAUUGCUCCUCUUACUGUAGAGGCUUCCCGUGCAUAACAAUGCAGUGCUGAAGGAAUCGGGAUGUCCAAAUCAGAGGCAGGUUUAAUAGAUCAGCCUUUCUGUGUAAGUAAAAUGCUUGAGAGCCUCAGGGUAGGGAAGUCUAGAAUCUUUCUUUGCAGAUUCCAUGUAUGUUCAUGAGUAAAUUGUAGCUGAACACUUGGGUAUGUAAAAGUUUUCUCAUUAGCCUGCUCUUCCACCUCCCUACCUCCCUUGAUACCCUACUUUAGCAAAAAAAAAAAAGGCUGGAGUAAUCACAAACUCAGUUUAUUAAUGAAAAAUGACAUUUGUUUUCAAGCAUCUGGAGGCAUUAAAGAGUAAUCAUAGGUGAUUCUGUUUGUCCAGCUUGUAGGUACUUUAAAAAUACUUGCACUACCUUAUACUUCCCAGACGUGGUGGUCUGCAGCAAAUCACCCUGUUUAAAAUCCUUCCAGUUUUUCUGAAGGGACUGGCAACGUUGGAUGUCUAAUUUAGACCAGCCAUCUGAAGCUAGAAAGCACUAUAAAGAUGCCAGCUUUUCUAGUGUUGUCUGCCACUGGACUGGAUACACUGCAGUUUAUAUGCUGUGGCAGAUGAAGAAGAAUUAGCAUUUUACAGUGUUAAACCAUGGCUCUUUUGAAUGUGGUUAUUCUGUAUGUUUCCUUCUUGUCUCCAACAAAAAUGCUUGUAAAGUGUGGUUUGUGAGGGCAGAGAACGCUAAAAUUGCUACAAAUGCUUUUUACACUGUUUGAAAGAGAAUUGGCUUGAAAACUUAAGCCACGGAAUAGUUUAUUGCUGAUUAUUGGUUAAAGUGCUGGGGUUUAAUGUUCAGGGAAUGCAUCUUCAAAGUAUUUUCAUGUGAUAAAGUAGAAUGUGAGAUGGUGGCAGAGACAUGGUGAGUUCAAAGUGGAAGGAACUUAGGAAUCCAAAUUUUAAAUCAAGAAAUUAUAUAUAAUAUUAAAAUUGAAUAUAUGGCAGAUGUACUGAAAAAUAAAUGUUUUAUCUGUG
ensembl:lncRNA